AUAAUUUUUAUUUAAUUUGGCACAUUUUGGCCUUUACUUCUUCAAAUAUUAUUUCAUACUCAGUCUAUCUUAUUUCCUUCUGGGAGUCCAGUUAUUCACAUAUGAGGCUGUUUGAUAUUAUACCACAAAGUAUUUUGGCUUUGGGGCAGUACUGUCUCUGUUGUAACUAUUCAACUCUUGUUACAGUUUGAAAGCAGCCAUAGGCUCCAUAAAUAAUGUAAACAGAUGAGCAUGGCUGUGUACCAGUCUAACUGUAUUUACAAAAAUAGGUGGCAGACUAGAUUUGGAUUAUAGACUAUAAUUUCCUACGUAGACUGUUAUAGUUGCUGCAGCUACAUUGUGAAUUUGGGGAUAAAAUCAAACAAGUGCAAAACACAAAUAUUAGCAAGAACUAAAGUGUGGGGAACUGUGUGAAUGAGAAUAAGGGCAUAGAAGAGACUAGAAACAUGUUGGGGCCAGAUUAUUAUGUCCAAAUAUUGCUUUAUUUGAGAACAGUAGUGAUAGAGUUAAACUUUGAAUU